UUAUCUUUGUACACACAGCAAUGGUAUCUCCAAAGAUAUCAACCAAGACUACUGAAGCUAAAAGCAGAAAAAGAAAGCAAGGAGAAGGGCAGAAUAUUGAGCCAAAUAGCCCAAAAUCUGUGAGUUCCCUCCCAUUCCUGAAAAGAAAAAGGAGGGACACUUGAAGCCAAUCAUAAGAGCUCUGUAGCUUUUGGUCCCAUUUCUUUUUAUGUUCUGCUUUCCUACAUACUUUGUUUAUCAUAUUUGUAUUUUUUUAAGUUCUUAUUUUUCUUCACAUUUUAACAGCCAAGGACAUCACCAAGGCAACAUGUGGUAGCCACUAAAACACAAGCAUUGGUAAAGAAUGAAAAUUAUAAUUUUUAUUUUCCAUAUAUUAUGUGUAUCCUAAAUAUAGUUUCCAUUCUUCCAAUACUUGUGUUUUAGUGGCUAUCACAUGCUGCCUUGGUGAGGUCCUCAGCUGUUAAAAUGUGAAGAAAAAUAAGGUCCUCAGCCUGAUAAUAUAAUUUUGAAAUGCCAUUUUCAGGCACCGACUUCAACUGAGAAACCUCCGAGUGCACGAAAGAUGAAAGUUAUGCAAAGUUUGGCUUUAAUUGCUCCAUCUGAAUCUCCAUUCCACCCAAAGCACAUGCAUUUCUCCAAGAAAGUUUAGAAUGUACUAAAAAUGGCAAAAAGAUUGGGCCAGUGGUGUGGUAUGGUUGAAGUAUAUUGUUUUUUAUGUUUCACAUUUCCAGUCUUUUGAAAUCUUAGAGGCUGAAGCCCAUCCAUACAAGUAUUAUUCGAGGAAGAUGACUCCUUUUAGGAACUUAUUUAGCUCUCCAGAACAUAGAUGUUGAAACAUAUAACUAUUUGAUAUUUCCUUGUUGAUCGGUUGAAUUAGUUGAAUUUCAUGCAGUUUUGUCAUUAUUAUUAUUUGUUAUUGUUAUUGUUAUUAUUAUUAUUAUUAUUGUUAUUUGUUAUUGUUACUAGUUGAUAGCUCGUGCAACGCACAGACUAGUUUGAAUAAUG
rnacentral:lncRNA from 1 species